UACGUAGGGGGCAAGCGUUGUCCGGAUUUAUUGGGCGUAAAGAGCUCGUAGGUGGUUCGGUAAGUCGGAUGUGAAAUCUCCAGGCUCAACCUGGAGGGGUCAUUCGAUACUGCCGUGACUAGAGGUCGGUAGGGGAGUGUGGAAUUCCUGGUGGAGCGGUGAAAUGCGCAGAUAUCAGGAGGAACACCGGUGGCGAAGGCGGCUAUCUGGACAGAGUCUGACGCUGAGGCGCGAAAGCUAGGGGAGCGAACAGG
rnacentral:rRNA from 1 species